rnacentral:rRNA from 1 species
UACGGAGGAUCCAAGCGUUAUCCGGAUUUAUUGGGUUUAAAGGGUGCGUAGGCGGAAUAUUAAGUCAGUGGUGAAAGUUUGCAGCUCAACUGUAAAAUUGCCAUUGAAACUGAUAUUCUUGUGUGCAAAUGAGGUAAGCGGAAUGUGUUGUGUAGCGGUGAAAUGCUUAGAUAUAACACAGAACACCGAUUGCGAAGGCAGCUUACUAGAAUGCAACUGACGCUGAGGCACGAAAGCGUGGGGAUCAAAC